rnacentral:lncRNA from 1 species
CUCAAUAAAACUUUUCCUGGGCUGGAUAGCAAAGGACACCUUUGGUUACCUGAAUGAACAGUUUUGGCCAGAAAUGGUGAGAAGAAAAAGCAUGAAGAAGCCGCGAAGUGUGGGGGAGAAAAAGGUGGAAGCGAAGAAACAGCUCCCGGAGCAAACUGUACAAAAACCUCGCCAAGAGUGUCGGGAGGCAGGACCGUUAUUCCUGCAGAGCAGGAGAGAGACGAGAGACCCUGAAACACGCGCCACCUAUCUUUGUGGGGAGGGAUAAUUGAAGCGCCCUGAGCGUACCAGAGCCAGAAAAAAAAAUGCUGCAUGGGAGCUGCAUCUUAGGGCAUGUGUAUUAGGGUGUGUGCAUGAUGAAUUUCUGGACUGGAUCCCAAUAUUAAAAAGUAGUUUGGCAUUUUAAUAAAGGGUCUCUAAGUAAAUUAAAAUAGAA